rnacentral:rRNA from 1 species
AGAGUUUGAUCCUGGCUCAGGACGAACGCUGGCGGCGUGCUUAACACAUGCAAGUCGAACGGAAAGGCCCUUCGGGGUACUCGAGUGGCGAACGGGUGAGUAACACGUGGGUGAUCUGCCCUGCACUCUGGGAUAAGCCUGGGAAACUGGGUCUAAUACCGGAUAGGACCACACACUUCAUGGUGAGUGGUGCAAAGCUUUUGCGGUGUGGGAUGAGCCCGCGGCCUAUCAGCUUGUUGGUGGGGUAAUGGCCCACCAAGGCGACGACGGGUAGCCGGCCUGAGAGGGUGACCGGCCACACUGGGACUGAGAUACGGCCCAGACUCCUACGGGAGGCAGCAGUGGGGAAUAUUGCACAAUGGGCGCAAGCCUGAUGCAGCGACGCCGCGUGAGGGAUGACGGCCUUCGGGUUGUAAACCUCUUUCAGUAGGGACGAAGCGAAAGUGACGGUACCUACAGAAGAAGGACCGGCCAACUACGUGCCAGCAGCCGCGGUAAUACGUAGGGUCCGAGCGUUGUCCGGAAUUACUGGGCGUAAAGAGCUCGUAGGUGGUUUGUCGCGUUGUUCGUGAAAACUCACAGCUUAACUGUGGGCGUGCGGGCGAUACGGGCAGACUGGAGUACUGCAGGGGAGACUGGAAUUCCUGGUGUAGCGGUGGAAUGCGCAGAUAUCAGGAGGAACACCGGUGGCGAAGGCGGGUCUCUGGGCAGUAACUGACGCUGAGGAGCGAAAGCGUGGGGAGCGAACAGGAUUAGAUACCCUGGUAGUCC